CGGCAACAGCUCAAAUUUGAAAUCUGGCCCUCGGGUCCGAGUUGUAAUUUGUAGAGGAUGCUUUUGGUGCGGUGCCUUCCGAGUUCCCUGGAACGGGACGCCAUAGAGGGUGAGAGCCCCGUCUGGUCGGACACCAAUCCUCUGUAAAGCUCCUUCGACGAGUCGAGUAGUUUGGGAAUGCUGCUCUAAAUGGGAGGUAUAUGUCUUCUAAAGCUAAAUACCGGCCAGAGACCGAUAGCGCACAAGUAGAGUGAUCGAAAGAUGAAAAGCACUUUGAAAAGAGAGUUAAACAGCACGUGAAAUUGUUGAAAGGGAAGCGCUCAUGACCAGACUUGGGCUUGGUAGAUCAACCUGGGUUCUCCCCGGUGCACUCUUCCUCGUCCCAGGCCAGCAUCAGUUCGCGGCGGGGGACAAAGGCUUCGGGAAUGUGGCUCCCUCGGGAGUGUUAUAGCCCGUUGCGUAAUACCCUGCUGCGGACUGAGGUUCGCGUUCUGCAAGGAUGCUGGCGUAAUGGUCAUCAGUGACCCGUCUUGAAACACGGACCAAGGAGUCGUCUUCGUAUGCGAGUGUUCGGGUGUUAAACCCCUACGCGUAAUGAAAGUGAACGCAGGUGAGAGCUUCGGCGCAUCAUCGACCGAUCCUGAUGUUCUCGGAUGGAUUUGAGUAAGAGCAUACGGGGCCGGACCCGAAAGAAGGUGAACUAUGCCUGUAUAGGGUGAAGCCAGAGGAAACUCUGGUGGAGGCUCGCAGCGGUUCUGACGUGCAAAUCGAUCGUCAAAUAUGGGCAUGGGGGCGAA
rnacentral:rRNA from 1 species